rnacentral:rRNA from 1 species
UACGUAGGGGGCAAGCGUUAUCCGGAAUUACUGGGUGUAAAGGGAGAGUAGGCGGCAUGAUAAGUUAGAUGUGAAAGCCCGGGGCUUAACCUCGGGAUUGCAUUUAAAACUAUUGAGCUAGAGUACAGGAGAGGAAAGCGGAAUUCCUAGUGUAGCGGUGAAAUGCGUAGAUAUUAGGAAGAACACCAGUGGCGAAGGCGGCUUUCUGGACUGAAACUGACGCUGAGGCUCGAAAGCGUGGGGAGCGAACAGG